AACGAACGCUGGCGGCAUGCCUAACACAUGCAAGUCGAACGAAGCCUUCGGGCUUAGUGGCGCACGGGUGCGUAACGCGUGGGAAUCUGCCCUUGGGUUCGGAAUAACAGUUAGAAAUGACUGCUAAUACCGAAUGAUGUCUUCGGACCAAAGAUUUAUCGCCCAAGGAUGAGCCCGCGUCGGAUUAGCUAGUUGGUGAGGUAAAGGCUCACCAAGGCGACGAUCCGUAGCUGGUCUGAGAGGAUGAUCAGCCACACUGGGACUGAGUCACGGCCCAGACUCCUACGGGAGGCAGCAGUGGGGAAUAUUGGACAAUGGGCGAAAGCCUGAUCCAGCAAUGCCGCGUGAGUGAUGAAGGCCUUAGGGUUGUAAAGCUCUUUUACCCGGGAUGAUAAUGACAGUACCGGGAGAAUAAGCCCCGGCUAACUCCGUGCCAGCAGCCGCGGUAAU
rnacentral:rRNA from 1 species